AAUGGACUUGUGUCAACAUGGGCAACUGAUAUAUAAACUUCAAUCCCACUCUGAUUUGUGUUGGUGAUUCUCAAACAGCCUCUGUGAGUCUUUCUCCUGCCAGUCUUCAUCUACCUUCUAGCUUACUGACAUCAUCGUCUAUCAGAAUGGCCAAAUACCUAAGCUGGGCAUCCACUGAAGUCCUGAACUAUUGUGACAAGGAGGCCUACAAACCUGAGUAGUCACCUUGUCCCAUCAAGAACUUAUGAAUAAGUUCGAUGAAGAUAGGAUGCAUCAGAAACGGUAUAUUAGAUGUAAGGUUAGUGAACUUCCUACCUACCGUCUGCUUCGAAUUGAAUCCACGAUUAAGGUUACAAUUGAAGAAGAUAGCCUUUGGAAGUUGAUUCUGACACCUGCUAUGAAGAAAGGGGAGGACACAAGCUACGACAUUCUCCUCAAUGGCCAGUAUACAGAGACACUGGAGACAUCCACGCACUCUAAUGUUCAUGGGGCAAGGAAGAUUAAAAAAAAUAGGACAUACAAUAAAAUUCAAUUUCUUCUGUACCCAAGAGGAAAGCUACGAUGAAGACACAGAGGCUGUCCGAGAAUCAUCACAGACAUUGAAAUAGGUGUUGUGCAGGACAAGAUCUCAAGCACCAAUCCAGUCAGUGGAUACAUCAGUACUACUCAUCAACAUAAAUAUGCACCUAGUUAGACAAUUGUAUCAAGGGAUUACAAAUGGACCAUUAUUGCAAUUAUUGAUGUUAUUAAUCUGUGUGUUGUGCUGGGACAAGAUCUAGAGUCGGAAACACCAAUCCAGUCAGUUGAUACAGUGACACUAUUCAUCAACAUAAAUAUGCACCUAUUUAGACAAUUGCUUAUCAAGGGAUUACAAAAUGGAACAUUAUUCCAAUGAUUGAAAUUGUUAAUCUGUGCGUUGUGCAGGACAAGAUCUAGAGUCUGAAGCACCACCCCAAUUAAUAUAGUGAAACCGUUGAUCAACAUAGACCCCUAUUGAGGCAGCUGAUUAUCAAAGGAUUACAAAUGGAACAUUAUUACAAUUAUUGGUAUUAUUCAUCUGUGCAUGUAUAUGAACUGUAAUAUUUUCUUAAAUAUUCAUUGCUAUUCAUUCUUCGACUUUACUUCAUCAAACUAUGCUUAUCCCACACGGUGUAAUGCACAUGUACGACAAAUAAAACCUCAUUAGUAUUAUUGUUAUUAUUAAACUAUGCAUCUAUAUAAACCAUGUAAUUCUAUUAAAUAUUCAUUGCUAUUCA